rnacentral:rRNA from 1 species
UACGUAGGGGGCAAGCGUUGUCCGGAUUUAUUGGGCGUAAAGAGCGUGUAGGCGGCCUGAAAGGUCAGCUGUGAAAACUCGAGGCUCAACCUCGAGACGUCGGUUGAAACCAUCUGGCUAGAGUCCGGAAGAGGAGUGUGGAAUUCCCGGUGUAGCGGUGAACUGCGCAGAUAUCGGGAGGAACACCUGUGGCGAAAGCGGCUCACUGGACCACAACUGACGCUGAGGCGCGAAAGCUAGGGGAGCAAACAGG